AUUGUAACUUGCAUAUUUAUUUAGUUGAGUUUAAUCUAAGUUUAUAUCUGAUGUGUUUGUAUUAUUUUAGAAUUUACUGUUUUAGACACGUGGCAUGUGGUAUCCCACUAUUACAACUAAGUUUGUGUAUGGCUUGUUUAUAUUAUUUCAGAAUUUGCUAUUUUAGACACUUGGUAUAAGCUGUCAUACUACACGUGGCAUGUGGUAUCCCACUAAUUAGCUAUUUUAAACAUGUGACAAGUGGUAUGACACUGUAUUGAUGUAUGUGAAAUGUAUAGAGUCUUUCAGUUAUCAGAUAAUAUCAAGGAGUUGACAGCAUGGUGUCCGAUUUAAAGUGCGAACCUGUGUACGAGUAACAACAGUAUU